rnacentral:rRNA from 1 species
AUUGAACGCUGGCGGCAGGCCUAACACAUGCAAGUCGAACGAAGAUCUAGCUUGCUAGAUCUUAGUGGCGAACGGGUGAGUAAUACAUAAAUAAUCUGCCCAUAUGACUGGGAUAACUAUUGGAAACGAUAGCUAAUACCGGAUAGGUUGAUUGGAGGCAUCUCUGAUUAAUUAAAGUAGGAUUUCUACACAAAUGGAUGAGUUUAUGGCGCAUUAGUUAGUUGGUGGGGUAACGGCCUACCAAGCCUGCGAUCUGUAGCGGGUCUGCGAGGACGACCAGCCACACUGGGACUGAGACACGGCCCAGACUCCUACGGGAGGCAGCAGUGGGGAAUUUUGGACAAUGGGCGCAAGCCUGAUCCAGCCAUUCCGCGUGCAGGAUGAAGGCCUUCGGGUUGUAAACUGCUUUUGUACGGAACGAAAAGGCUCUCUCUAAUACAGGGGGCUCAUGACGGUACCGUAAGAAUAAGCACCGGCUAACUACGUGCCAGCAGCCGCGGUAAUAC